rnacentral:tRNA from 1 species
GGGCGGUUAGCUCAGUUGGCUAGAGCGCCUGUCUUACAAACAGGAAGUCAUAGGUUCAAGUCCUAUACCGCCCACCA